GACGAACGCUGGCGGCGUGCUUAACACAUGCAAGUCGAACGGAAAGGCCCUGCUUUUGUGGGGUGCUCGAGUGGCGAACGGGUGAGUAACACGUGAGUAACCUGCCCUUGACUUUGGGAUAACUUAAGGAAACUGGGGCUAAUACCGGAUAGGAGCUCCUGCUGCAUGGUGGGGGUUGGAAAGUUUCGGCGGUGGGGGAUGGACUCGCGGCUUAUCAGCUUGUUGGUGGGGUAGUGGCUUACCAAGGCUUUGACGGGUAGCCGGCCUGAGAGGGUGACCGGCCACAUUGGGACUGAGAUACGGCCCAGACUCCUACGGGAGGCAGCAGUGGGGAAUAUUGCACAAUGGGCGGAAGCCUGAUGCAGCAACGCCGCGUGCGGGAUGACGGCCUUCGGGUUGUAAACCGCUUUCGCCUGUGACGAAGCGUGAGUGACGGUAAUGGGUAAAGAAGCACCGGCUAACUACGUG
rnacentral:rRNA from 1 species